CAGAGAUGAUUCUUUUCUUGGAGAGCAUCUCCACUGGAGUGUUUGGUGACUUCUGAUACUUGGAAAGGGGGCCUGAACAUGGUCAUACCUAACAGAUCUUCUGGAUUCAGCCUAAUUCUUGUCAAGCAACUCCAGUAUCUCUGCACUGCACUCCCCAGAGCUCCACACUGUAUUUAUAUCUCUUACAAUGAAGAGUUAACAACACAAGAAUUUCCAAUGAGACUGAUGUUCCCAUGAGACUGCGAUCUGGCUGAUUCUGUUUAAAAAAAGAAACAAAUAGAAUGGUGAAAGAUGUUAUACUGUCUUUGCUACUUUAAUGUAGCAGGAAAGUUAAUGAAUAGCAAAAUAAAUCUCAAAUUCAAAGGCACUUACUACU